rnacentral:rRNA from 1 species
AACGAACGCUGGCGGCAGGCUUAACGCAUGCAAGUCGAGCGCCCCGCAAGGGGCGCGGCAGACGGGUGAGUAACGCGUGGGAACGUACCCUUUGCUACGGAAUAGCUCCGGGAAACUGGAAUUAAUACCGUAUGUGCCCUACGGGGGAAAGGUUUAUCGGCAAAGGAUCGGCCCGCGUUGGAUUAGCUAGUUGGUGGGGUAAUGGCCUACCAAGGCGACGAUCCAUGGCUGGUCUGAGAGGAUGAUCAGCCACAUUGGGACUGAGACACGGCCCAAACUCCUACGGGAGGCAGCAGUGGGGAAUAUUGGACAAUGGGCGCAAGCCUGAUCCAGCCAUGCCGCGUGAGUGACGAAGGCCUUAGGGUUGUAAAGCUCUUUCACCGGAGAAGAUAAUGACGGUAUCCGGAGAAGAAGCCCCGGCUAACUUCGUGCCAGCCGCCGCGGUAAAAC